rnacentral:rRNA from 1 species
UACGUAGGUGGUGAGCGUUGUCCGGAUUUACUGGGCGUAAAGGGAGCGUAGGCGGACUUUUAAGUGAGAUGUGAAAUACCCGGGCUUAACUUGGGUGCUGCAUUUCAAACUGGAAGUCUAGAGUGCAGGAGAGGAGAAUGGAAUUCCUAGUGUAGCGGUGAAAUGCGUAGAGAUUAGGAAGAACACCAGUGGCGAAGGCGAUUCUCUGGACUGUAACUGACGCUGAGGCUCGAAAGCGUGGGGAGCAAACAGGAUUAGAUACCCCGGUAGU